rnacentral:lncRNA from 1 species
CCCAACGAUGCACAAGGUUUCCCUUUUCGCCACAUCCUUGCCAGCUUUUAUCUAGGUUUUUACUUAUUAACAGUGCAGAAACCAAGGUUAUGGGCUGUCUGGGGUUUUGCUCUUUCAAAACAUAAUCUGAAUGAGUUAAUUUUGAGGCACUAAAUGUCAGAAUCGAUUCUGCAUUCAUUCCAAAUGGAAUGUCUCAACCUGUCUACACACGUCCAUUCGCUUGCGCUCGAGUCAUUUAUAAAUCAGUCCUUCAGGGGAACAUUUAUGGGGUCAGAACCAGAAGGUUUCUGCCCUGGCAGCCGGGAGAGAAGGCUUGUGGGUAAACCGGGUCCCGGCUUACCGCCUCAGCAACAAUCAAGCAGGGGACUAGCCUAAGGCCCUGGGCUGCAUAGCCGGAAGAGAACACCAGAGGAGAGCUGACGCGGUUGAAGAAAAGAAGGCGGAAUGAUCACCCGCCAAGAAGAUACAGAACGAGCCCAGUGCACUGCUUCGAGCACCAACCGCCAGCUCGGCCCAGCCCAGCCCACUACAGAGGAAUGAGGAAGUGGAGGAGGCUGGGCCUCCGAAAGGGAAGAAGCCUACUAGAGCUUGAAAGAAAACUGAAGGUGAAAGUGUCAGUCGUUCAGUCAUGUCUGACUCUUUGCUAUCCCAUGAACUGCAGCUCUCCUCUGUCCUUGAAAUUUUUCAGGCAGAUUCUUUACCAUCUGAGUUACCAGGGAAGCCUUGUGGAGCUUGCUUUAGCAAAAAGAAAGGUCAUUUUAUAUAAAGUUGCAAGUACCUCAUGAAACUCAAGGGUUGGUAUGAAGACAGACUUCAGGAAGGGCCUGGAACUGUGCAGUGGAGCCCAAGGUAUAAUAUAUUUUGUCUCAACUUCUCACUGUACAUCUGCUUUUUCUUUCUUGACAAAGACUGUCUGCCACCAGAAUAUGGCUGUGACACAGUCCCUAGUUAAGAGGAUAUGGACCUACUGGGAAGAGACAGACUGAUAAUGGUCUUCCUUCAGUUCAGUCGCUCAGUCGUGUCCGAGUCUUUUUGACCCCAUGGACUGCAGCACGCCAGACCUCCCUGUCCAUCACCAACUCCUGGAGUUUAACCAAACUCUUGUCCAUUGAAUCAGUGAUCUGAUUUUAAAUUCUCAGGAAUAAGAGUACAAUUAGCAAAUUAGGAUCAUGAGUCUACCUGUAGUUCAUUUGGUAUGGUGUGAGAUAUAUGUGUGGAAGUAGAACAUGGAAAAACCAAUAGGGCUGACAGAAGUCUACUUUGUGUUCCUGUGGGUGGGGGUGCCAUUUCCAAAGACAGGCAAAAGUGUUCAAUACACUGGGUAUCUUGUUCUGUUCCUAGAAUCUCUGAUACAUGGUUAACAAUGUAUCUACAUUGAAACUGUUAUAAAGUCAUAGGUGUUUACCUUCUUACACAACCAACAUCACUACUGUGAAAGUUGAAUUCAUGACUUAAUAUUUCUUGUAAUGUCUAAAAGAUAUAAUAAGCAGCAGAAAGAUCCAUUUUUACAUUUGGAAAUGAAGUCAAACAUCAGAAACUGCUUCAAAAUGCUCCAGAACUUUCCUUUUCCAGCAUCAAUCUAGUUAAUUUGGGAAGUCAGCAUACAGGGGAGCAGGGUUUUCCUAUGGUGAAGAGAGUAUAGAAGUGUCCCCCUAGUUCACAGGAGAGAGUCACCAUACCAUAGACUCUGGUUUAUAAAAUUGUAGUUACCCCUGAAGCUAGUCUUGAGCUCAGCAGGCUUAUAUUAUUUGACUAGUAUUUGUAGACAUAUAAUCUAGUAGGUGUCUUUCUAAGCCUAUUGGAAUAUAAAUCUUUCUUACUUGAAAUGGAAACAAACUCAUAAAUUUUGCCCAGCUAAGCCGUUGUUAAAUUGGUUAUAGUGUAACAUUUAGCUAGGAUUGUACAACCAUUUCCACACUCAUAAAUCUUGGUCAUUGUGCUCAGAAUUUUAUGUUAGAAGCAGGAGUAAUUAAAAACAGUAAUUUACUGAUAGUCCAAAGGUACUGAAUAGCAAAAACUGUUCCACUGUUUAUUCUUGGUGCACAUAUAACAACAUUUUAAAAAAAGAAAAGGUUAUGGAGGAGGACCUGAUUAUGCUUUUCUAAGGAAUUUUUCCUUUCAACCCCAAACUGGGUUUUUGAUUAGGUUAGCCUAUCAAUUUAAAACAUUGCCAAGCUCUGCUUUUCAAUACAAUCCUUUUUUUCUUCCUUCCCUCCUCCCUACCUCCCUUCCUUUUCCCUUCUAUAUUCCUUCCUUUCUUGCUUCUUUCCUACUUACUUUUUCAUUCAUCCAUUUAUUCUCUCUUUGAAAGAGCAAUGUGUAGCAUUUGAAACCAUUUAAUUAUUUGGUUUNNNNNNNNNNNNNNNNNNNNNNNNNNNNNNNNNNNNNNNNNNNNNNNNNNNNNNNNNNNNNNNNNNNNNNNNNNNNNNNNNNNNNNNNNNNNNNNNNNNNNNNNNNNNNNNNNNNNNNNNNNNNNNNNNNNNNNNNNNNNNNNNNNNNNGACAGAGGAGCCUGGUGGGCUACAGUCCAUGGGUUGGCAAAGAGUCGGACAGGACUGAGCAACUAACAGUUUCACUUUUCACUUUUUCAUCAGCUAGUCAACACCGUUAAAUAAAGGGAAAGUAAGACAGAAUUGUUGGCAACCAUAGGAUGAUCAAAGUCAUAAGCUCUAGACUAAAACUUGUCUGUGGAUAGUUUCCAUUUGGCUGCCCGGUAUGCAGACACUUCUCUUAUUUGACUUAAUCACAAUUUAGGUAGAAAAUAGGAUGAAAGGGGGCAAAUAGAUAUUCCUUUUCCUGUUUACCUGAUAGCUGGGGUUUGGGGAAGUGAAUUGGGCUCAAUUAAUUUACUAAUCGAUGUCCUAGUCCAAGCUUUGAAAUUUGAAGAAAAUAAAUAGCAUUCAGAAUUUAUAGAAUUUUUGAUGUGACAGGAAGUUACUAAUUAAUUCAGUUUAGUUCAGUUCAGUCGCUCAGUCGUGUCCGGAUCUUUGGGACCCCAUGAAUCACAGCACGCCAGGCCUCCCUGUCCAUCACC